CAAAACCUGAAGAAAAAAAGAGUUCCAGUGGAUGUGAUAUUACAAGGUGAUGAGAGAAAUAUUCCCAAAUGGAUAACGAUACCAACAAGUUCGUCAAAAAGUCGUCGUUCAACUUUGCCGGGGCAAGAACUACUUGGACCUAAACGACAGGACCGUACGUCAAGGAAAGAUGCUAAAACCUGCAAGAAAGGAUU